ACUCAAAUGAAUUGACGGGGACCCGCACAAGCGGUGGAGCAUGUGGAUUAAUUCGAUACUAACCGAAGAACCUUACCCAGGUUUGACAUCGCGAGAAAGGCCCAGAGAUGGGUCCCCCUCCCACAAGGAGGCUCAAAGACAGAUGUUGCAUGGCUGUCGUCAGCUCGUGCCGUGAGGUGUACGGUUAAGUCCGCCAACGAGCGCAACCCUCGUCCUGUGUUACCAGCACGUCAUGGUGGGCACUCGCAGGAGACCGCCGGUGUAAGCCGGAGGAAGGUGGGGAUGAUGUCAAGUCAGCAUGGCUCUUACGCCUGGGGCUUCACACAUGCUACAAUGGGCGCAACAGAGGGCCGCGAAACCGCGAGGUGGAGCCAAUCCCAGAAAUACGCCCCCAGUUCAGACUGCAGUCUGCAACUCGACUGCACGAAGGCGGAAUCGCUAGUAAACGCAGGUCAGCUAUACUGCGUUGAAUACGUUCCCGGGUCUUGUACACACCGCCCGU
rnacentral:rRNA from 1 species